CGGGCGGGCAUCUCCCGCAACGCAAGCUGCAUUGUUCGCCACCACCCGAGAAGCAAAAGAUUCGAGAGUCCCAGGCUGAAAAUACAUGCAUAGAUAGUGGUCUAAUGACAAGGGCCGACGACGGAAGCUCGGGACGGAGCCGUAUGAUGCGGAAGUCUCACGUACGGUUCCCUGAGAAGGGAGUGGCUACCUACUGGAGCUUCGACCAACCACCACCGGUCAAUUCCGCUUUGGGGCCACCCCUUACUCUACCAUUAUUAUAGGGGUAUGGGGUUCGAGACAAAGAAAGAUCAAGGCAGCAUAUCAGUUUUUCCUUUAUACUUUACUUGGAUCUGUUUUUAUGCUAUUAGCUAUUCUCUUGAUUCUUCUCCAAACAGGAACCACCGAUUUACAAAUAUUAUUAACCACAGAAUUUAGUGAGCGGCGCCAAAUCUUUCUAUGGAUUGCUUUUUUCGCCUCUUUCGCCGUCAAAGUGCCUAUGGUACCAGUUCAUAUUUGGUUACCCGAAGCUCAUGUAGAGGCACCUACGGCAGGAUCCGUCAUCUUGGCAGGAAUUCUUUUAAAAUUGGGAACCUACGGCUUUUUAAGAUUUUCAAUACCCAUGUUUCCCGAAGCGACACUUUUUUUCACUCCUUUCAUUUAUACUUUAAGCGCGAUUGCUAUAAUAUAUACUUCCUUGACCACUUUAAGACAGAUCGAUCUUAAGAAGAUCAUUGCUUACUCCUCAGUAGCCCAUAUGAAUCUGGUGACUAUUGGUAUGUUUAGUCUGAACAUACAGGGAAUUGGAGGUAGCAUUCUACUGAUGUUAAGUCAUGGACUGGUUUCUUCAGCCCUUUUU
rnacentral:misc_RNA from 1 species